rnacentral:misc_RNA from 1 species
UGGCUGUGGCAUCGAUGAAGAACGCAGCGAAAUGCGAUAACUAAUGUGAAUUGCAGAAUUCAGUGAAUCAUCGAGUCUUUGAACGCACAUUGCGCCCGCUGGUAUUCCGGCGGGCAUGCCUGUCCGAGCGUCAUUUCGACCCUCACGCCCCCCGGGGCGUGGCGUUGGGUGCCCCGCAGCCGUCGCGCCGCGGGCUCCCCAAAUGCAUCGGCGGUCCCGCCUGGCGGCUCCCUGCGCAGUAGUCUUCUCCUCGCAUCGGGCCCCGGGCGGUCGGCCGGCCGCUAAACCCGCCCGCAGCACCCGCUGUGCGGCACGCUACGUUGACCUCGGAUCAGGUAGGGAUACCCGCUGA